GAAUCUUCCGCAAUGGACGAAAGUCUGACGGAGCAACGCCGCGUGAACGAAGAAGGCCUUCGGGUCGUAAAGUUCUGUUGUUAGGGAAGAACAAGUACCAGAGUAACUGCUGGUACCUUGACGGUACCUAACCAGAAAGCCACGGCUAACUACGUGCCAGCAGCCGCGGUAAUACGUAGGUGGCAAGCGUUGUCCGGAAUUAUUGGGCGUAAAGCGCGCGCAGGUGGUUCCUUAAGUCUGAUGUGAAAGCCCACGGCUCAACCGUGGAGGGUCAUUGGAAACUGGGGAACUUGAGUGCAGAAGAGGAAAGUGGAAUUCCAAGUGUAGCGGUGAAAUGCGUAGAGAUUUGGAGGAACACCAGUGGCGAAGGCGACUUUCUGGUCUGUAACUGACACUGAGGCGCGAAAGCGUGGGGAGCAAAC
rnacentral:rRNA from 1 species